UCCUGGUGGCUCAGACGGUAAAGAAUUUGUCUGCAAUACAGGAGACCUGGGUUCAAUUCCCGGGUCAGGAA
rnacentral:tRNA from 1 species